CGCGCUGGGCAGCGGCCGGCUUUGUCUCCCGAGCCAGGCGUGAGGGCCGCGCUGCUGGCCUCUGCGGGGUCCGGUCGGCGGCUGCCGGCCCGAGAGCCCCGGGACACCGACUUCUCCUCAGAAACCUGCGGGCAGCCGUGCCUCGCGCGGAAUUUCCCAUCGAUUUCGGCCCCGGGGAGGAUUUUUGCGUGUUUUUUUUUUUUUUUUUCCUCUCUAAGGAAACCCGGGAGUGGACGAGGCGCGGGGAAGGGGUGCAGUGGGACGCUUUCUGCUAAUGUGCACCUGUGAGGCAGCAGUCGAUGUCCUAAGCCCUGCCACUCACGUGGGAGACCUGGACUGAGUUCCCAGCUCCCAGCUCACGGCAGCCGUCCGGCAGAAACAUCUGUGCGUGGGUAGAUGUUACAUACAGUGAGCUCUGUGGAUUGCUCUACAGCAGACGUGCUGAGCAGUGCGCAGGAUUCUCCCGUGAGGAAUGCCACAUCACAACGGAGGUUCCCGCUGAGCUUUCAGCCUGAAAAACAGCACAUAAAAAUACAUCUGUGCGACAGCCCGUCUUUUCUCCUGUGUGACUGGGGGUACUACGUUCUCCGAGAUUUCCCUGUAAGAGUGUAUAUGUGCAGUAUACUUAGCCUGUAACAGAGCGGGCCGAUUUCGAUUUUUUAGUCUGUUGUUUUAAGUGUUAGGGCCAGGGCUAAACUACUUUUUCUAAGUAUGCAUUUUAGGCUGUUGUUUAGCCAUUUUGUUUUUUUGUAAGAUGAUUUUUAUUUAUUUGAAAGUCAGAUUUAGAGAGAGAGAUAGAGACAGAGAUCUUCCAUCUGCUGGUUCA